rnacentral:rRNA from 1 species
CCUACGGGAGGCAGCAGUGGGGAAUAUUGCACAAUGGGGGAAACCCUGAUGCAGCCAUGCCGCGUGUGUGAAGAAGGCCUUCGGGUUGUAAAGCACUUUCAGUAGGGAGGAAAGGUAGUGGUUUAAUACGCCAUUACUGUGACGUUACCUACAGAAGAAGGACCGGCUAACUUCGUGCCAGCAGCCGCGGUAAUACGAGGGGUCCAAGCGUUAAUCGGAAUUACUGGGCGUAAAGCGUACGCAGGCGGUUCAUUAAGCCAGAUGUGAAAUCCCCGGGCUCAACCUGGGAAUUGCAUUUGGAACUGGUGAACUAGAGUCUUGUAGAGGGGGGUAGAAUUUCAGGUGUAGCGGUGAAAUGCGUAGAGAUCUGAAGGAAUACCGGUGGCGAAGGCGGCCCCCUGGACAAAGACUGACGCUCAUGUACGAAAGCGUGGGGAGCAAACAGGAUUAGAUACCCCGGUAGUC